GAGAAGGAUUACACUUGAACUGCUAACUCAACACACCAGAACUAACCCCCUGGCCUACUCA
rnacentral:tRNA from 1 species